CCUACGGGCGGCAGCAGUGGGGAAUAUUGCACAAUGGGGGAAACCCUGAUGCAGCGACGCCGCGUGAGUGAAGAAGGAUUUCGGUAUGUAAAGCUCUGUCAGCAGGGAAGAAAAUGACGGUACCUGACCAAGAAGCUCCGGCUAACUACGUGCCAGCCGCCGCGGGAAUACGUAGGGGGCAAGCGUUAUCCGGAUUUACUGGGUGUAAAGGGAGCGUAGACGGCAGGGCAAGGCUGGAGUGAAAGGCUGGGGCUCAACCCCCGAACUGCUCUUGAUACUGCCAGGCUGGAGUGCAGGAGAGGUAAGUGGAAUUCCUAGUGUAGCGGUGAAAUGCGUAGAUAUUAGGAGGAACACCAGUGGCGAAGGCGGCUUACUGGACUGUAACUGACGUUGAGGCUCGAAAGCGUGGGGAGCAAACAGGAUUAGAUACCCGUGUAGUC
rnacentral:rRNA from 1 species